GCCGGGUGCAGUGGCUCACACCUGUAAUCGCAGCACUCUGGGAGGCCGAGGUGGGCAGAUCACCUGAGGUCAGGAGUUUGAGACCAGCCUGGAGCCUGGCCAACAUGGCGAAACCCUGUCUCUACUAAAAAUACAAAAAUUAGCUGGUGUGGUGGCAUGCGCCUGCCAGCUACUUGGGAGUAAUCCCAGCUACUCAGGAGGCUGAGGCUGGAGAAUUGCUUGAACCCAGGAGGCAGAGGCUGCAGUGAGCUGCGAUCAUGCCACUGCACUCCAGCCUGGGCCACAGAGUGAGACUCCGUACCCCCACCCCCAACAAAAAAGAAAAAAAGAAAAAGAAAAAUUAGCAUUCCCCCCUCCCCUCUGAUAGCUGGGUCCACCUUCCUGGCCCCACAUCUUAGUGUUGGAUGGCGCUGUGCUUGCUGACCACGUGUCACUUGCACACUUUCCCCAGCUUCAGUCUGCCAGGAUAGGGUGACAGCAUGGGGCCCAGGACCCACAGGGAGGAGACCAGCAGAGGCAGGUGGGAUCAGGACUUGACCUUCCUCUUUCAAUAACUCUAAAUUAGUUCUUGCUACUUUCACUCGUUCAGGUUGACAGACUCCCUGAGACAUGCAGACGUGACUUCCUAAGCAUCAUUCGUGCGUCCAUCCCAGCCCUGCCGGACCAUGUCUGACCUGGGCUCAGGAUGGCACUGGCACCCAGGGGUGAUUUAGGGGUUAGGUUUCAGCGGGCUCUACCUGAGGUGGGCUCAGGUCACAGAGCACAGCCAGGAAGGAGAACCAAGCUCUUCUAGAAGUGUAUGGAAAGAGUUCCAGGAGGAAGAGCUGCCAGGCUGGGCCUGGAGUUGGCCAGGAUCAAGGCUGGCUGCAACAUUUAUCCAGGCCCAAACCCAACAUAGACGGAGUCCAGCCCCACCAGGCAUGGUAGCAUUUUUUGUGAUCUGGAGUAAGACCCUCUACUGGCAACUUCACUGGAAAUUCCCUGCAGCAGAAGCCCAUUCUCCACACAACGGUGGACUCAGAACGCCCAUGUGCAAGGCUGGCUAUGGACGUGGAGUGGGGUCCUCAGAAGCCCCGAGCUUCCUCUGAAGAGCCUCUUAGAUCCAGGCUUUGGGGCACACACUUGGAGAAUCUCUGCUUUAGCAGGAGGGUUCUAAGGAAGGAAUGAACCUUGUUGGACUCCAGGGGGUCAAGGGGAAUCCUGGAUGUUAGCAUGAGAGCCCCAGAUGAGCCUGAGCUUCUGUUCAGUCCUGCCACCCAUCCUGCCUGGAGAGCCUGGGUCCAGGAAAGAGACCUCUGGAGGUCCUUGCUUUUGCAAAGGAAGCAGUUUUUCACACAGUAGUCCAGCUUUUGGAUGGGGUGAGAAAGAAGGCAAUGGAGAAAGGAAAGGUCUGCAUUUCUGGAAUGACAAAGCUUUAAGUCACAAUGAUUGUAGCUUCCAAGUAGACCACUGAGGCCUCUCUCUGCCUUGACAUUUCAUCUACAGCUUCUGUGGCCAACUACUAGCGUCCAGUGUUGUUUCAGUUGAGAUUCCUGAUGAGCCCAGUUUUAUCUUUUUGCACCCUCCUUCAAUUUCCUUGUGUGUAAAAUGGGAUGACCAUCUCCUCGGUAAGAUGUCAGGUGGUGAGCACAGUGCCUGCAUGUGGUAAGUGCUAAAGAAAAGUAAUUAGAAUCAGUAAAACUGAAGAACUCUUUAGAAAAAGCAGUCACCUGUGCUGGCUGAGCUUGUGUAAAAGAAAGAUUUACUGACUCAGUUUUAAUUUCUGUGAAUACACCUUUGUGUAGUGAGGAGCAAACCAAGAGGACUGAGCCUUGGGCCUGCCAGCAACUCACCUGAUGCCUUUCUCUGGGCCUCAGUUUUUCUCUCUCUGAAGUGGAUGUGUGUCAUAUGACCCAGAGAUUUCUAAUCUAUCUUCUCCAGCUAGAUUCUUGCAUUAGGGGUGAACUUGUUCAUUGGGUAGAGUUGCUUCCCCUGGUUUGGAGAGGCAGCAUUUGCAGCCCCAGAGGCUAUCAGGGAUAAGGGUGUUGGGCCAAGAAUAGCUGGGCCAGGAGCAAUAAACUGUUAAGGGCUUGAUGAGUCUGAGCAACUGACCAAUAACAUCCAAUGCCCCUGGAACCUGGCAACUCCAACUUUAGGUGGCAGAGGAUUAAACACAUUUUGCCUCAAGGUGAGUCUGUACAGGUCCCCAGUGGUCUCUGGGCCUGCCUUCCAGCUCUGUGAGGAACAGGAGCUGAGCAAGUGCCUACAGUCACCACGCUGCCUACAGUGUCCAGGGGAUUCUAGCCUGGAUAGGAAAACUGGCUUGGCUGAGUGGACUGUCCCAGGGUGAGGAUCUGGGAAUGAGCAUAUGGGGAUGGCAGACUACCACACGCCCUGGAAGCUGGAGAGGAAGGAGGCACCCAGGACAGAAGGUGAGGUUGCCCCAGGUCAACAACUUCCAGAUGAGAUCCACCUUGAGUCAUGAUCCUCAGAUGCCAAGCCACAGGAACCUCAUCACCCACCUCAUCAUCCAAACUGGAACUUGAUGGAAAUCAUUCCACAACUAUGUGUUGGUGGGUUGUCUUCUUAAUACUUGGAAGGAGGUCUUAAUACUUAUCCCACUGAAAUCAUGCUACCUACACCUAGCAAAACAUACAUCAAAGAAAAACUUCUAACUGGGUAUAUCACAUGCCCACUGUACUAACACACUGGAGAACCCCCAACAACAGGAGGCCCGGGGAGAGUCCCUGACCCACAGGGACUUCAGGUCAAGACCACACCCACCAUCCUUUCAAGGUGGAGACAGUCCCCGUAGGAACCAAACUGAUGUAUAAUAAAACUCAUCAUUUAUUUCUCUUCUCCCUACAGCAUUUCAGCCAGUGAAUGGUAGAAUUUUGCAGGAAUAAGAAUUAGAGGUGUAGAGGGUUUUGAGAUGCGGGGUGGGUCAGGUUUCACUACUCAAGGACCCUAAGACAGGUUUUUGGAAGAAGUGUGUGUGUGUGUGUGUGUGUGUGUGUGUGUGUGUGUAGGACCACAUUCAGCCACUCCCAUGGGCAAGUAUGACAUAUGACCACUCCUCUCUUCUUGCCCCCUGGCCUCCUUAACCUAGAAGUCACCUUGCUGGCUCAUGGGAUUCCUUGAUACUUCUGCAAUCCAGCUUCUCCGCUCCAACAGGCUGUCCCUGCCCAGCUGAGCUGGCCCACCCAGGGUUCCCUCACAGUGCUAUGGGCCUCCACUGGCCCCCUCUGCACAGCCCAUCCUCUCCAAUCUUUCUUUCCAAAGUGAAAUCUACCAAUGCUUACUCUUUGGCUCUGGCCACAUGAGAGACAGACAGACAUACAGACACACACUUCUUUCUUUUUGCCUUGGCUCACCACUAUUCAAUGCCUGGAAGCCUUAUUUUCUCCCUUGGGAACCUCCACUCAGUCUUUACAACUGUCAUCUCCUCCAGGAAGUCAUCCCUGCUCUUCUUCC
rnacentral:lncRNA from 1 species